CUGUCACUUAUUGAUGCAUCCGCGCUGCAUUAGCGAGUUGGUAAGGUAACGGCUUACCAAGGCAACGAUGCAUAGCCGACCUGAGAGGGUGAUCGGCCACACUGGAACUGAGACACGGUCCAGACUCCUACGGGAGGCAGCAGUAGGGAAUCGUCCGCAAUGGGCGAAAGCCUGACGGAGCAACGCCGCGUGAGUGAUGAAGGUCUUCGGAUCGUAAAACUCUGUUAUUAGGGAAGAACAUAUGUGUAAGUAACUGUGCACAUCUUGACGGUACCUAAUCAGAAAGCCACGGCUAACUACGUGCCAGCAGCCGCGGUAAUACGUAGGUGGCAAGCGUUAUCCGG
rnacentral:rRNA from 1 species